GCGCUCGGCGGCCGCUGAGGGGAGCCGCGGCGGGGCGGGAGCCGGGGCCGGGUCAGUAGCUCCUCCCGUACGUGUAACUCACAGAAUCACAAAAUCACGAAGGUGUUCCGGACUAGAUCAGCCAGAAGACAGCCCUAGGAAAACAAAACAAAACCGGAGGAAGAGAGAAGUUAAAGUUCCUCCGUUCUUAGAAAUGUGAUCGGAGAUCUGGUGUCAAGGCCACCACGGUUUCUGCACUUCGGGAAAGGCAAUGUUUGAUUUCAUCACUCAUCAGGACUGUAUCUUCCCUGGUGCUUCUGCAGUUGGCAAUGAAGAAUGGAAGAUAAACAAUUUUCCAGCACAUUCUGCAGCCUGUUGCAAAGACACCAUAUUGACAUUUAUUCUACUUCUCAGAUAAACAAGCCUAAUUUUCAUAUGCUGUGGUGUCUCUAAGAACAGUGCAAACUUUCUGCAAAAGUUCUUAAGAGCCAAAUCGUUCAUUUAGUCUUUACACUCGAUGGAAGUGAAGUCCCAAAACAAACUGGGAAUUUUAUGUCAGUAAAUAACUUAGUCUAACAUAGAUCCUUUGGAUGAUGCACCGGUACACUAAUUCCUACACGGGACGCUAAAAUCUUGAUGGGAAAAACUAGAAGUACCUCUCCUAGAGACAUUUCAGUUAGAUACAAGCAUUAUGCAACAAGCAACAAGGAUAAAAGAUAAAAACACUAAAUUGGAUAAAUUAAAAGGAAAUGUAAUUUAACAGAAGAUUCUUUCAGUUUGGGUGCACUGCUAUCCAUUGUAUUUUUAGAGAAGAACGACAAUUACAUUCCUGGACUAGAUUCCACAUUCAAACUACACUAAAAUGCAGAGCAGCAAAACUUGUGAUUAACAUUAACUCCUGUCACUAAGAAAUAAAGUAAAUGCUGGUUUCACUCAAGUUUUCAAUUGUUAUCUAGAACUCUAAUGAGGCCAUAGGAUUUGCAAACUGGGAUGGCAAACUGCUGACAAAAAACCUUCAAUUCCAAAGAAGAGAACAGCAAUUGUAGCAGUACCACAGGCAUCUUUGUAUUGCUAACAAGCCCUUCCACCAAAAUUUACGAAAUCCAGUUUUUCACUUGAUAUUGAGACAGCUGAUAGGAAUGAAAAUUGAUUAGUCUUCAGGAUUCUGAAGUCCUUAAGCACUGAAGAAGUUGGGUGAAGGUGAAAGGAAGGAAGGAGGCAUUUGCCCUUUUCCUGCUCCAGGCUUAACCACACAUCUAGUUUAGAAAUGCAAUACCCAAGACUACCGACACAAACAGGCUUCGGUACUCCUUCCCCUCCAGAUCUUAAGAUGUCCACCAGAUACUCCACAUUUCAAAAUAAGCCACAGCAUUCUGGGAAAACUAGAAAUUUGCUUGCUAUGGCAGAAAUGCAAUCAAAGACAGUAUCUUACUUUUAACAGAGCUGAAUCUCACCCCUAAUAGCACAGUUAUCUUUAAUCACGAAUGCCAAUUUCUUCGAUUACUCUUAAAAAGUAGUCUGUAAAGAAUGCAAGAUUGACUUACCACCAGGCAUAAUACACACCAAGAAUUACUGACGCUGCUUUUGACAAUGUGUCUAAAAUGCAUAUAUGAUUUCUAAAAAUUUAUUAAUCUCAAAGAGGAAUACAUUUUACUCUUUUCAAAUGAGUUAUUUUCUUGAACACAUGUAUAUGCAUAUUAAUAAUUCACGGGGAACAUCCUUGCAACUUAUAACUUUAAAAUACAAGUUAAAUAAAAUGUUUAUUUGAGAAGUGCUUUUUUAUAGGAACAACAUCAAAAGGAAAUUUACAUUUAUGGGUGUUAAGUUUGUUUUGUAGAAGUGAAAUACUGGGAAAGAACAUUUUGAUAGAAGUGGUAACCAAAUGUAUAUAUAUUUUGCACACAUACCUUUUACUAUUAUGUGUAAGAAGAAAUAAAUAUUUAAGAAACGGACUUGA